UACGGGGGGGGCAAGCGUUGUUCGGAAUUACUGGGCGUAAAGGGCUCGUAGGCGGCCAACUAAGUCGAACGUGAAAUCCCCGGGCUCAACCCGGGAACUGCGUCCGAUACUGGUUGGCUUGAAUCCGGGAGAGGGAUGCGGAAUUCCAGGUGUAGCGGUGAAAUGCGUAGAUAUCUGGAGGAACACCGGUGGCGAAGGCGGCAUCCUGGACCGGCAUUGACGCUGAGGCGCGAAAGCCAGGGGAGCAAACGGG
rnacentral:rRNA from 1 species